AUGAACGCUGGCGGCGUGCCUAAUACAUGCAAGUCGAGCGAACAGACGAGGAGCUUGCUCCUCUGACGUUAGCGGCGGACGGGUGAGUAACACGUGGAUAACCUACCUAUAAGACUGGGAUAACUUCAGGAAACCGGAGCUAAUACCGGAUAAUAUAUUGAACCGCAUGGUUCAAUAGUGAAAGACGGUUUUGCUGUCACUUAUAGAUGGAUCCGCGCCGCAUUAGCUAGUUGGUAAGGUAACGGCUUACCAAGGCGACGAUGCGUAGCCGACCUGAGAGGGGGAUCGGCCACACUGGAACUGAGACACGGUCCAGACUACUGCGGGAGGCAGCAGUAGGGAAUCUUCCGCAAUGGGCGAAAGCCUGACGGAGCAGCGCCGCGUGAGUGAUGAAGGUCUUCGGAUCGUAAAACUCUGUUAUUAGGGAAGAACAAAUGUGUAAGUAACUAUGCACGUCUUGACGGUACCUAAUCAGAAAGCCACGGCUAACUACGUG
rnacentral:rRNA from 1 species